rnacentral:lncRNA from 1 species
CAUUUAACUAGUGGUCGGUACAUAACUAAAAAUAAUAAUGUUCAGUGGCAUCCGCUUCGCGACUGUGAAGGUGGCCGUUGCUCCUGUCUUGUGUGCGGAGAUCGCAGUCCUACUGGCAAAGGAUGCAAUAGAGUGGCUUACAAUAGCAUAGUCUCGGGUUCAGUUGUGCGAGCACAGGGACCUGUUGCUCCGGCACCUCAGACAGUUGAGUCUUUGGGUCAGCUGGGAAAAGACCAAACUCUCCCUGACGCAGAGGAUCUCUUUUCCCGGUUUGGAGUUGGAUUCGGUCGAACAGACAGCACGCCAUACAGAGGAACGUGCGCGGUCAGUGCUGAACUGCUUGAAUUCAUUCAAGGGCAGGACAGCGGUCCCACUGAAACUGUUUCAGAGGCUCCUGGGGUAUAUAGCAGCUGCAGCGGCAGUUACGCCACUGGGGCUGCUUCAUAUGAGACAGCUUUAGCACUGGUUUCAUGGCCGAGUCUCGAGGUGGGCGUGGCGGCGUGGCCUGUUACACCGGCCUGUCGCCAAACCUUCACCCCGUGGUCAGACCUUACGUUCCUCUGGGCCGGAGUGCCCCUAGAACAGAUCUCCAGGCAUGCUGUGGUUUACACGGAUGCCUCCACCACCGGCUGGGGGGCCCAGUACAACGGGCACGCUGUGUCAGGGAUGUGGACGGGCCCCCAACUGCACUGGCAUAUCAAUUGCCUAGAGUUGUUAGCAGUGUGCCUUGCGUGCGCGGUCAGUGCUGAACUGCUUGAAUUCAUUCAAGGGCAGGACAGCGGUCCCACUGAAACUGUUUCAGAGGCUCCUGGGGUAUAUAGCAGCUGCAGCGGCAGUUACGCCACUGGGGCUGCUUCAUAUGAGACAGCUUUAGCACUGGUUUCAUGGCCGAGUCUCGAGGUGGGCGUGGCGGCGUGGCCUGUUACACCGGCCUGUCGCCAAACCUUCACCCCGUGGUCAGACCUUACGUUCCUCUGGGCCGGAGUGCCCCUAGAACAGAUCUCCAGGCAUGCUGUGGUUUACACGGAUGCCUCCACCACCGGCUGGGGGGCCCAGUACAACGGGCACGCUGUGUCAGGGAUGUGGACGGGCCCCCAACUGCACUGGCAUAUCAAUUGCCUAGAGUUGUUAGCAGUGUGCCUUGCAAAGGGCGCUCACGAGGCAAGCACGUGCUGGUCCGAAAAGACAACAAGGUGA